GCACCUCCUUUGAUAUGUCUUCCUGCUGGGAUCACUUUGUCAUAGAAGAGAGUUACUUUUCCAUUGGACGAGACUGGUGCUGGCUCAUGUUCCCAGACGUUUUCCUUGAUUUCUACCUCCAGUUCUUUGCAGACUUUCCAGUGGAGAUAUUGACAGAUCUUGUUGUGUCGGGAUGUAUAAUGUCCGCCUGCCAUAAGGAGACUCAUGGAUGAA